UAGGGAAUCUUCGGCAAUGGGGGCAACCCUGACCGAGCAACGCCGCGUGAGUGAAGAAGGUUUUCGGAUCGUAAAGCUCUGUUGUAAGAGAAGAACGUGUGUGAGAGUGGAAAGUUCACACAGUGACGGUAACUUACCAGAAAGGGACGGCUAACUACGUGCCAGCAGCCGAGGUAAUACGUAGGUCCCGAGCGUUGUCCGGAUUUAUUGGGCGUAAAGCGAGCGCAGGCGGUUUAAUAAGUCUGAAGUUAAAGGCAGUGGCUUAACCAUUGUUCGCUUUGGAAACUGUUAAACUUGAGUGCAGAAGGGGGGAGUGGAAUUCCAUGUGUAGCGGUGAAAGGCGUAGAUAUAUGGAGGAACACCGGUGGCGAAAGCGGCUCUCUGGUCUGUAACUGACGCUGAGGCUCGAAAGCGUGGGGAGCAAACAGG
rnacentral:rRNA from 1 species